CAGUAGCCACGGGAAUACGUAGGGUGCAAGCGUUAAUCGGAAUUACUGGGCGUAAAGCGUGCGCAGGCGGUUAUAUAAGACAGAUGUGAAAUCCCCGGGCUCAACCUGGGAACUGCAUUUGUGACUGUAUAGCUAGAGUACGGCAGAGGGGGAUGGAAUUCCGCGUGUAGCAGUGAAAUGCGUAGAUAUGCGGAGGAACACCGAUGGCGAAGGCAAUCCCCUGGGCCUGUACUGACGCUCAUGCACGAAAGCGUGGGGAGCAAACAGGAUUAGAUACCCGCGUAGUCCCUGUCUCUUAUAA
rnacentral:rRNA from 1 species